rnacentral:rRNA from 1 species
AGCAGCCGCGGUAAUUCCAGCUCCAAUAGCGUAUAUUAAAGUUGUUGCAGUUAAAAAGCUCGUAGUUGAACUUCGGGGUUUACCCAUUGGUCAGGCUUAAUUGUCUGUACUGGUGAGAUAAAUCUCUACCUUCUGGGGAACUUUCAUGCCAUUUAUUUGGUGUGAUGGGAAAUCAGGACUGUUACUUUGAAAAAAUUAGAGUGUUUAAAGCAGGCUAACGUCUGAAUACAUUAGCAUGGAAUAAUGAAAUAGGACGGACUGAUUCUAUUUCGUUGGUUUCUAGGAUCACCGUAAUGAUUAAUAGGGAUAGUUGGGGGCAUUAGUAUUCAAUUGUCAGAGGUGAAAUUCUUGGAUUUAUUGAAGACUAACUACUGCGAAAGCAUUUGCCAAGGAUGUUUUCAUUAAUCAAGAACGAAAGUUAGGGGAUCGAAGACGAUCAGAUACCGUCGUAGUCUUAACCAUAAACUAUGCCGACUAGGGAUCGGACGAAGUUAAUUUUAUAAUGACGCGUUCGGCACCUUACG